rnacentral:snRNA from 1 species
AUACUUACCUGGCAAGGGAAGUUUUUCCAAGGCAAGCCUUAUCCAUUACACUCCAGAUGUGCUGACCCCUAUGAUUUCUCCAAAUGUGGGAAACUCGACUGCACAAUUUGUGGUAGUGGAGGACUGUGUUUGUGCUCUCCUCUG